GCGCAUUUCCCUUGCCCAUUUCAUUUGGGCGGUAGUGUUCGAUAGUUUUCGAUUUGAUAGAGAGAGAGCUAGACGUAGAGCGGUGGAGAAGAGGAGGCGAUUCCGUCCCCUUUCCCCCUGCUGGAGCUUAAUUUUCUCUUUGAUUCACGGUUGCCAUGGUUCCAGGGUGUUGUUGUGGAAAGCUCUUGUAGACGCAGCUAUUUGUUCAGCUUCGGGGGACUUCUUGGUGAUAAUGGAGGCUUUGACAACGCUCUAUUCAAGUUAUAUAUGAAUCAUUGAAUCAUUGAAGAGGAAAUUAUCAUGUGCUUGAAGAAGGAAUGUUGUCAGCCCCCAUUGUUAUACUAAACUCUCUGAUGGCUUUAGUCUGUUCCUCUCUUUACUGUUGCACUGCAGUUUCCCAGUGUCGUAGUUCUGUAUUUAGGCCAUAAUUAAUCUUUUUUGCUUAUGUAUCUUAUUGUUUGUUUGCACAUCUCAUGGAAUUUCAGUGCUUUUCCUCUGCAAAUUAAAUGUAAUUAUCAGAGUAUUUCCUCCCC